UUUGUUAUGAAAAAUAGAUAUGUAUUAGAAGAUAAUCUAGAUUCAUUGAUUUAACUAAACGAAAAAAGUCUUCCAUUAGUUAGUAGACAUUUCAUCAAAACAUCAAAGAAAGAAGUUGAAAUUUUGCGUCAUUAAGACCUUAUCUUGAGUCUUCAUUAAUAUGUAUAACUGUCUUUUGACAGUAAAAAUCCUAUCCAUAAGAAACAAAAUGAUCCCGAUAGAAUCAAGAUUACUAUUAGAAUUAAAAAAAUGUGACCAAAAACUUUGAAUAAAAUCCAUUUUUCAUACAUUUAGGAUAGUCUAUAGAAUGGAUUUUCAAUAGAUCGAUUAAAAAACAAUUUCCAUAAACUAUUUUCGGGAUUAAUACACAAAAGUUGUUUAUUUGAUUGAUCAUUGGUUCUAUUACGAGUUACUUUUUUCCUUUCGUUCGAAGUUUUGAUAAUCACUAAUUGAUGGUAGCAACGCAUAUUGUUGAGGAUUGUCGAUUUCACUGGAGCUCAAAAAUACCGACGUGAUUCGUAUGCGGCUAAAUAUUGAAGUAAGCAAAUUUAGACAUUCAUUUCAUUUGUUACGGGUCAGUUUUUUGGAGUCAUUACGAUCAAGGUAACAAUCUUAGCAGUUGUAAGAUUGUGGCAUGUGGAGUACAGAAAUGUGGUCGGUUUGCCCUAGUGACUUGCUGACAGUGCAGCAUCAUGCAUCUGCAUCUUCUCUCCUGCAGUAUGAGUAUCAGCAAGUCCAAAUAAUAGCUGAUUGGACUUUCAAAUGAUAAAGUCUAAAUACUAACGACGAUUGAUGACACCGAACUGUCGUAUAAUUCAACAUUCUAAUACCUGGGAAAGGUUAAGAUAUUUAACGCUGUUAAUGUAUAGUUAAACAUGCUUUGUGGGUGCACUUACCUACGAUGAUUUCGGCUCUGUUUCAUAUGCCUGCCUGGCAUAUAUGUGGAUCCUCACCAACGAAUUUAUAUCAAAUGACAUAUGGCAUUGACAUUGAUGUGCUAGGUUUUUCCACGCGAUAAUAUCAUAGACUGAAAAAUGGUAGCAAGAAGCUGGUGCUGCUGCAGCGACAACGAAUAACUUACAUGAAUUCGUCUUAAACUUCUAUUGAAGUCCUUCUCAACUCCUCCAACUAUUAAAUUGCAGCUGGAGUAAACUGGAUUCCAAUUCUUUGCUGCGGUUAUCACAUUGCGAUGGGAAUUGGUUUCAAAUGUGAACUAUGUGUGCUUGAGUUAUCGCAGAUGACAAAUACUGCUCAUAUUUCAUGAUUGUUCCGUGUCAUUUGCUGCGGUUAUCACAGCACCUGAUUAAUCAGGUCUUUUCACCUGAUUAAGGUUGUUAUUAUAGAGGUAUUAUCACCGAUAAAUACUUUUGAACUAUGGUAUGUUGCAAUAUAUUGCAGCGUGAUUGUUUUGGCAAUCUAAUGAUUCAAGAGAUCGAUUCAGAGCGAAUUCUCCUAUGCUGUACAAAAUAACGUAUAUCGACGAUGCUAGAUAGCGAUGUUGUCGACAAACUCCCAAAUCAAUAAGUAUCUCGUCACCAAACCACUGAAAUUUUUAUUUUCUUUUGCAAAAAUCAAACGAUAAUGGCUGACUUUUUUCGGUGGUUAGCUUCAUUAGGAAUCAAGCAUGAUCUUACCACUUCUUAACUGUGAAAAGUGGAAUAAACCUAAGGACUGACUAAUAACUGUCAAUGUACAUUACAAUACGGACUGCGCAAGCUUUUCCAUGAUAGACAAAUCAGUUACCUUAAUACAUUUUUUAAUUCUCCAUCAAAGAUUUUAAAGUAAUUCAGUAUACGAAUAAACGAAUCCAGCAUAUGAUGGACUUCUGUUUUCGAAGCAAUGUUUACUAUUAAAUAAGAGAGCGUAUUCAACCUGGUAAAUCUGGAAACUCAAUAUGUUGAUUAAUACAUCUGUUUGUCGGAGAAUAUCGUUCAAGAGACAUUAUUAAUAUCAGUAAUUAUGAAAUCAUAGACAAGUGGUAAAGAGGCGAAGGGCAAAGAAAGAGCAGUUAUACAAUAUGGAAUAUAGAUACAUUUUAAUAAUUAUUCUGGGAUAAUAGCAACUAUCUUUGUGGAUAUCCGAUUUCAUUUCACAGCCAUUCAUAAGUACACACUGAAAACCGGAAAACGAAGUUUUUCUACGUUUUUUUUCAAAUGCAGAAUCAAUUGUGAUUGAUUU